rnacentral:lncRNA from 1 species
UCCAAAGGGCUAUUUCAAUUCAAUGGUCCAUUUCAUUCACACAAGUACAUUUACAAAGUUUCAUACAAAUUUUUUUUACAAAAAAAUAAAGUUUGACCUACAUUUGACUUUUGGUCAACUGUUGGCUUUUUGGUCAACCAAUUAACCAAAGUCAACCGACCCAAUUCCUAGACCUAACGCAUAAUUUCCACAUUGAUUCUUCAUUAUUUUGCAUCCUUUCACUUGAUUGCAUGACCAAACAUUUCUUCAUGAGCAAGUAAACUUAGUUUUCUCCAAACCAUCACCAUGAGCUUUCAUGUAGUUCCAUGCCAAGCAAGCUUCAAUCAUCAGCAUAUCAGCCAACAACAAGCUAAAUAUCUCAACCAUUAUCAUAUCAUUUAAAAUAGCUUGCAACAUUCAUGUUAAAGUAUCAAGCACUCAUAAAAUCCUACGUGGAAAUGCAAAAUACAAUAAUGUAGCAGACAACUACAUUAAAACAGCUUGUCAAGUAACAACCAUGUACCCUUGCUCACCAAUUUACAACAAAUCCAUUCAAGCAAUGAUUCAAAACAAGCCAUCAACAUAACAUUCAUAGCAAACAUCAUCAACAAAACUAAGAAAGUAGCAUACCUAACAUUCAUAUAGCUAUAAUAACACACUUACAAUCUACCAUAACCAACCCAUUUAACUUCCAAUUACUAACUAUUUUUGUCCUAAUUCUAACAAUUUCAAGAUAAAUUUUCAGUAUGAAUUAACCCGCUUGCAUUGACAUCAUUCAAAAGAUUUUUCAACUGAUUUCUAACAUUACAACAAAUACAGUAACAUAGAUAUUAAUUUACUCAUUAAAAUUCACUAACUGUCAAGUUUAAUUCACACUAAAUAAUCUCAAUCAGCUAACAACAAUAAGCAUAUCAACAGUUAACAUACAAGCAUGGCAUAUCAUCUCACUUCAAUCAAGUAACAUACAUGGCAGCCAUGGAAUUUGCAAAAAGCAUCAAUCAUUAUUAAACCUAUUUGUAAAAAUUGAACUACAUAACAACAACAAGACGUAUGAGCAACACCUGCAAGAUUACAUUCAAUUUGUCCAUUAAACCAUCAUAACAAAGAGCAUUACACCAAUCAAGCCACCAAUCAAAACAUUAGAAAACCAUUCCUGAACAUGAAAUACAAUAUGACAAACCACUUGCGAGAACUCACCAAAACAUGACCUCACCAACCAUGACCAUUGACCUGCUGCAACCUCACCAUGACUUGUUGCAUCAAUACACAUCUGCCUUGAACUUACAGCCAUGCCCUACAUCCACAUAUCAUAACCUCCAGCAACAUCUAUCAAGCCUUGACACACCAUCAUCACCAUGAACAUGAUGAAAC